AGUGAAUGCUGGCGGUAGGCCUAACACAUGCAAGUCGAACGGCAGCACAGUAAGAGCUUGCUCUUACGGGUGGCGAGUGGCGGACGGGUGAGGAAUACAUCGGAAUCUACUUUUUCGUGGGGGAUAACGUAGGGAAACUUACGCUAAUACCGCAUACGACCUACGGGUGAAAGCAGGGGAUCUUCGGACCUUGCGCGAUUGAAUGAGCCGAUGUCGGAUUAGCUAGUUGGCGGGGUAAAGGACCACCAAGGCGACGAUCCGUAGCUGGUCUGAGAGGAUGAUCAGCCACACUGGAACUGAGACACGGUCCAGACUCCUACGGGAGGCAGCAGUGGGGAAUAUUGGACAAUGGGCGCAAGCCUGAUCCAGCCAUACCGCGUGGGUGAAGAAGGCCUUCGGGUUGUAAAGCCCUUUUGUUGGGAAAGAAAAGCAGCAGGUUAAUACCCCGCUGUUCUGACGGUACCCAAAGAAUAAGCACCGGCUAACUUCGUG
rnacentral:rRNA from 1 species